UAAUAUCAGAACAUCAGACAUGUUAAUAUGUGUUGUAGUGGUUUAAUAAUAUCAGAACAUCGGACAUGUUAAUAUGUGUUGUAGUGGUUUAAUAAUAUCAGAACAUCAGACAUGUUAAUAUGUGUUGUAGUGGUUUAAUAAUAUCAGAAUAUCAGACAUGUUAAUAUGUGGAUGGGCAUUACUCUGGAUCAGAAGGUUGGGUUUUGGUUGGGGAGAUGGAUGGGCAUUACUCUGGAUCAGAAGGUUGGGUUUUGGUUGGGGAGGUUGAUGGGCAUUACUCUGGAUCAGAAGGUUGGGUUUUGGUUGGGGAGGUGGAUGGGCAUUACUCUGGAUCAGAAGGUUGGGUUUUGGUUGGGGAGGUGGAUGGGCAUUACUCUGGAUCAGAAGGUUGGGUUUUGGUUGGGGAGGUGGAUGGGCAUUACUCUGGAUCAGAAGGUUGGGUUUUGGUUGGGGAGGUUGAUGGGCAUUACUCUGGAUCAGAAGGUUGGGUUUUGGGUUGGGGAGAUGGAUGGGCAUUACUCUGGAUCAGAAGGUUGGGUUUUGGUUGGGGAGGUGGAUGGGCAUUACUCUGGAUCAGAAGGUUGGGUUUUGGUUGGGGAGGUGGAUGGGCAUUACUCUGGAUCAGAAGGUUGGGUUUUGGUUGGGGAGACGGAUGGGCAUUACUCUGGAUCAGAAGGUUGGGUUUUGUUGGGGAGGUUGAUGGGCAUUACUCUGGAUCAGAAGGUUGGGUUUUGGUUGGGGAGGUUGAUGGGCAUUACUCUGGAUCAGAAGGUUGGGUUUUGGUUGGGGAGGUGGAUGGGCAUUACUCUGGAUCAGAAGGUUGGGUGUCUGAUCCCAGUAUUUUUU
rnacentral:lncRNA from 1 species